rnacentral:lncRNA from 10 species
AACUGGAUUAACAACAGGCAGGGGCCCUCCUCAACAUCUGUGUGGGUGCCGGGGAUGGGAGAGGUAACUCAGUGAUGGAGCACGGAGAGAACAUGUCACCACGUUGAGUGAGACAGACAAAGGCUCUUUAAAAUACUGAAAGUGGUGUCUACAUCGUUAGAGUUUCUUUCUUAAACCCAGAGGCAGAACUGACAAAUUUUGAGCCCUUUUAAAUUUAUCUUCAUGAGAAAGUUCUGAAAUGAUGCAAUGGGAAUAUAUUUGCAUGCUUAGUAAUAAGACGAGAGUCCUUUGGCCGUCCCUCUACACUCUGAUACCUGCUAUUCGGGUAGCUAUGUGCCUACUUAACAAGUGAUUGUUUUGUUUUCAUGGGUGUGACAUCUGCUCGGUAGUACUGGUAAGGCCAUUGCUUCUCAGCCUGGAGCAUCUCUGGCUCCUGAGGGCUGCUCAUAUUCACAUCGCCAGACCUGCAGGAGUAGCCUCGCGUCUCCUGAGGCUUCAAAGGACUCAGGCCCUGCUCACUGCCCAUGAUGAGAAAACUCCAGAAAGUGGACAGCAAAACAGUGCAAGGCAAAAGGCAAAUACCUAUUUUCCAAUAAUCAUUUGGAAAAUGUCAUAGUUUGGAUGGCUGGGAUCCUGGAGAGUUAGAAGGGGCUCCAUAUACAUAAAUCUGGAUGAGCUAAACCAACUUGAGCCCUGUCACUGCUGUCAGGAAAGGAAGGUAGGAUUAAUUAGCGUGACUUUGAUUCAGAGCAGGCUGUCCUUGGAGCCAAUUUGAAUUUUACUUGAAGAGAUCACAACACUGAACACAAAUGAGUCUUUCACUGCUUCUUCUCUCCAGGCCUCUGCGUGCCUGUUCUGAAGCUCAAGCUUGCCUGGUUUCAGUGCCCCUUGAAAUUUCGCUGUCAGCAGCAACCCCCUGCAGUGGCCUCUGCCAGGCCUGGGCUCAGAGAAGCAGGAAGGCUUUUCCGACCUUUCCACUUCGGUCUCCUCUUUCUCUGAAAUCCCACCGCCCCUUUGCCUCAGACGCAGUGAACUGUAAAGGUAUGCUCCCUCCUGAGGGUUUUUGUCUACAUCUUCUUUUUGAGUGAU